ACAGUUCACCUCCAAUUAUACACAAAAAGAGUGCAUAAAGCAAAAAAUGGUGUAUCCUAUAACACAAACAAAUGCUGUGGAAUUGUUGCCACAUUUAAAGCGUGUGUAUGGUGAUUUCCCUGCCUUGUGGACCUAUAACAAUGAAUUUUUUAAUAAAAUCCUAAAUACUCACAUUAAAAUGCGCUCAUGUUUUCAAUUGAGCGCCACAUCUGAAAAAUUCAAACCGCAUAAUUGUUCGGAAAAGUCAGGUUUUAUUUGCAGCAUCCAAAUGAAAUCUGCCGCUUUAUUUUAUGAAAAUUCGGUUGUACGAGUUUUUAAAAAUGAUAUAAAACAAUUCUGUGAUCCACAUGCAAAUAUUUCUAAUGCUAAUGAUGUUUUGUAUUCUUGUAUGAUUUAUUUAUGAAAUUUUGUUGCAACUACUUUUUAUAAAAGAAAAACUAAACAAAAGAAAAAUCUUAGAUUUUUAAAAGAAAUAAAA